GUGUGUCCAAAUUGGUGUUAUGGAAAAGACGAGUCCUGGGCGGCAUUGGUGGAUCUUUGGUGUGAUGAGGCUGGAGCCUGGGCGGCUAUGAGAACCAAAAAUAAGGCUAACCGAGGGACAGAGGGAGUACAUGCUCAGGGAAACCGAAACCACUAUCUCCACAAGGCAGUUAAUGUAUGACUAACCCCAUUAAACAUUCUUCUUCUUCUAUUUACCAUCACUUUCUUAUGUAUGACUAACCUCUGUUUGGUGGUGCAGGAGGAGAAACUGAAGCGGCCGCUCUCACACAUGCAGGCGUGGGAGAUCGCCC
rnacentral:lncRNA from 1 species